GCCUGGGUGGCUCAGUCGGUUGAGCGGCCGACUUUGGCUCAGCACAUCUCAGCGGGCCGUGAGUUCGAGCCCCACAUCGGGCU
rnacentral:tRNA from 1 species